GCCCAGCCCCUUACCUUCUUCUUCUCACUAGAGGAGGGCUCGCUCCCUGAGCAGCGGCCUGACUCCACCCCGCCGGCCCCCUUCACCCGGGUGGAGGAUUUGGCCAGGCUGCUCUCUACCAGUUCAUCAUCGAAUUUCUUCCUUUUGAUGAACCUGUGGAAGGUCCUGCAGGGUUAACUACUGGUACCACACCCACGCACGGCUUCCAAGAGAUGGAACCCCUCACUCUCCAUCCUCGGUGCCAUCCGGACACACCGGCAGAGGAGUCCCAAAGCCUCCGGCUCCAAACCACAGGGCUAGGAGGAAGGGUCCCACAGGCUCAUCCAAGGGUUCUGACCAAGCGAGCUUGGAUGCUGAGAAGAGAGUCUGGGAAGGAGAGCUUUUACUAAAGCGGGUGGUUCCUUCGGACGAUUCAAACGUGGUUUGGGAACUGUAUGAAUACCCAGCGCUUUGGCAGCCCCGCCCCUCCUGACUCCGGCGUCUCGUAGAGCAAAGUUCUGGCUCUGCCUUUAAGGACGCUCCACGACCAGCUCCG
rnacentral:lncRNA from 1 species